rnacentral:misc_RNA from 1 species
ACGCAGCGGUGUCCCUCGAGAGAGAAAGCUAAAAAGAAAACAACCAGAUGCGGGUUCCUCAGGUGAAACUCUUCAAGCGGUGAUACGAGUAGAAGCGCCAACGGGGAGAGUGAACCGCCUUGGGGAACGCCGCUAAUCUACUACGCUAUAGCUGACACACUCCUAACACACCUCUUCCUCUCUCCUACUCGUCUAAAUACCUUUUUCCUUCCCGCUGCGCCGCUGAAUUUAGAGGGUGGAUAGAGACACAAGGGAAGCAAAGCAUUCAUUGUCAGUGUCAAGGUGAAGGUGGUAGUGUGGUCUUGUGUCACGGGAGGCGUCUGGCAUCGCUCUCCCCGCCACUUAUAUAAAGGCGAGGUGUGCAACUAUGUGUGAUCAAAGCGUCACGGCACCUUGCUGGAGCAACAUGGCUUCAAGGCGGUGCUCAUGUCUUCCUGCUGCUGCUGUGGUGGCGGUGGCGGUGGUGGCGGCAGCGAUGGUGGUGGUGGUGGAGGCGGCUGAGGAGGACGAGGUGGGAGGGAAGACAGUGCGAAUCCCAAAUAUACCAAACUUUCCUAAUCUGGUGAUAGAUCGUGGACCUCUGUUUGGCCUCUUCGGUAACGUCGAGGAGGAAGUGAAGGUAGUGACGUGCGGGGAGACCAGUGAGGCGGCCCAGACAGUGUGGCAGAGUUACCAGUACCCAGAGUGGCAGGCUGACAUUGCUGGCCUGUGCACCCUCACCUACACACCGCCUGAGAACUCCUGCGGCCUGAGGAUACACUUCGUAGACCUAUAUAUGGGUUCCCCGCUGCCCUCCCACCACUCCUCCUGCUCCCACAGUGCACCGUCAUUCAAGGUACACUACAACGGUGCAGUCACUCCCGCCAUCUGCAGUGACGUGACUGGAUAUGAAGCUAUCGUGGAUUUGGACCCCGAAGUGAGCCAGCCGCUGGGGUUUGUGCUGCAGCUUGACACGGAGACAGACUACAAGUUCAGAGUCAACCUCACCGCCGUGGUCUGCUCUGAUUUGCACGCCUACCAGUCCCCCAACACUUGCGGGAUCAAGAACUCUCAAGCAAUUCUAGAGGCUGGAUACGAGACAGUUAGAAACAUAUAUACCAACAAGGAAGAGGAGGAAGUGGUGAAGGAAGAGGACCAGGUAGAGGGGGAGGGGGAGGAGGAGGAGGAGGAAGAGGAGAAGGUUAAGAGACGUGUGAAAAAGAAAGAGGAGGAGGAAGAGGAGAAGUCAUACCGUCAAGAAAAGGGGAUGUGGGAUGAAGAUUUGGAGGAGGAGGACGAAGAGGAGGAGGAGGUGGAGAGCCAGAGGGAGCCACGUCGCCGCAGGAAAAAUAACCGCAAGAAAGAAGCGAUGGUGAAGAAACUGCGAAAGAAAACGGAUGUCCUCUCGCAAGCCUUAGCUUCCGGAAUUGAGGCAGGCAUCGUCGGCCUUACCAAUGAUGAACGCCUUCGCCGCCAGCCGUGGAGGGAAUCGGUCCCAAGCAUCUGGCCGUGGAUGGUGAGCAUUGAGAGGAAGGUGCUGCGUAACGUCGGGAUCUCUGAUAAGCUGCAGGUGGAUCGCUCAGCCUCGCAAUGGUGCACGGGCGUCCUGCUUGACCAUUACCACGUGCUUACCGCGGCCUCCUGCGUCCUGCCCAGUGACAGGAACAACAUGGUACGAGUGAAAGACUUGAAGGUGUUGGUAGGACAAGACCAGACCUCCUCAUCUUCCUCGUCCGCCUCUCGCCGCAGCGGGUCGCAGCAACAUCAAAGCACAAACGGUCUCGGUGUGUCCAGAGUCUCCUUCCCUCUCCAAUACAACCCAGACCUCCGCAGCGACAAUCUGGCAGUCCUUGCCCUUGAACAUCCCAUUAGUUACAGCACGACGGCCCGGCCUGUGUGUCUGCCGGCGCAGUACAACAGGUUCCCGCGUAACAAUGGCUUCGUGUCUGGAUACGUGAAGGAAUCAGAGAGUAAGAGCAGAGAAAACCAACGCUCAUCGUCCAGGACACUCGUGGAGACUGACCUCAAUGUGCUGAGUCGAAGUGAGUGUUCUGACAGACUCUCCAACCUGCCGUACCGGAGUCAGCGCCUGCAGGAAACCAUGGCGCGGCAGAGGCUGGUGUGCACGCGAGGGAUACGCACUCGGAACGCGCCACUCUGCCAGCUGGAGACAGGGGCGCUGCUCAUCCGGAGAGACCGCGGUCAACUUCACUACCUCGCGGGCGUGAUGGGCGGCGAGGAACAAUGCGGCGUGGACUUCCCCAAUGUGUUCAGCGAGGUGCCACUGUCCUCAGCCUUCCUCAACCUUGCACUUGCCCCUCGCACCUAAAUAUCCUGGGAAACAACUCUCUAUUCAUCACUCCGUCGCUGUUGUUGUCGUUGUAGCUCUCUCUCUCUCUCUCUCUCUCUCUCUCUCUCUCUCUCUCUCUCUCU